rnacentral:rRNA from 1 species
AAUAGAUACCCGGGUAGUCCACGCCGUAAACGAUGAGUGCUAAGUGUUAGAGGGUUUCCGCCCUUUAGUGCUGCAGCAAACGCAUUAAGCACUCCGCCUGGGGAGUACGGCCGCAAGGCUGAAACUCAAAGGAAUUGACGGGGGCCCGCACAAGCGGUGGAGCAUGUGGUUUAAUUCGAAGCAACGCGAAGAACCUUACCAGGUCUUGACAUCCCCUGACAACCCUAGAGAUAGGGCGUUCCCCUUCGGGGGACAGGGUGACAGGUGGUGCAUGGUUGUCGUCAGCUCGUGUCGUGAGAUGUUGGGUUAAGUCCCGCAACGAGCGCAACCCUUGAUCUUAGUUGCCAGCAUUCAGUUGGGCACUCUAAGGUGACUGCCGGUGACAAACCGGAGGAAGGUGGGGAUGACGUCAAAUCAUCAUGCCCCUUAUGACCUGGGCUACACACGUGCUACAAUGGAUGGUACAAAGGGCUGCAAAACCGCGAGGUUAAGCGAAUCCCAUAAAACCAUUCUCAGUUCGGAUUGCAGG